GACGAGCGCUGGCGGCGUGCUUAACACAUGCAAGUCGAACGGAAAGGCCCUGCUUUUGUGGGGUGCUCGAGUGGCGAACGGGUGAGUAACACGUGAGUAACCUGCCCUUGACUUUGGGAUAACUUCAGGAAACUGGGGCUAAUACCGGAUAGGAGCUCCUGCUGCAUGGUGGGGGUUGGAAAGUUUCGGUGGUUGGGGAUGGACUCGCGGCUUAUCAGCUUGUUGGUGGGGUAGUGGCUUACCAAGGCUUUGACGGGUAGCCGGCCUGAGAGGGUGACCGGCCACAUUGGGACUGAGAUACGGCCCAGACUCCUACGGGAGGCAGCAGUGGGGAAUAUUGCACAAUGGGCGGAAGCCUGAUGCAGCAACGCCGCGUGCGGGAUGACGGCCUUCGGGUUGUAAACCGCUUUCGCCUGUGACGAAGCGUGAGUGACGGUAAUGGGUAAAGAAGCACCGGCUAACUACGUG
rnacentral:rRNA from 1 species